UACGUAGGGACCAAGCGUUGUCCGGAAUCAUUGGGCGUAAAGAGGGUGUAGGCGGCUUGUUAAGUCUUGCGUGAAAUCUCGGGGCUCAACCCCGAGCGGUCGUGAGAAACUGGCAGGCUAGAGUGCGGGAGAGGAGAGUGGAAUUCCUGGUGUAGCGGUGAAAUGCGCAGAUAUCAGGAAGAACACCCGUGGCGAAGGCGGCUCUCUGGGACGGUACUGACGCUGAGACGCGAAAGCGUGGGGAGCGAACAGG
rnacentral:rRNA from 1 species